rnacentral:piRNA from 1 species
UAAGAAAUGAUGAUGUUGCAUCAGAU